GCGCUCCCGCCGGGGCCCCGGGAAGCGGAGACAAGGAGGCGCCGCCGCCGCUGCUGCCCACUCCUCCCGGCUGCGCCCGGGCCCUGUGCCCGCAGCAUGCCCGCCGCCGAGCCGAGCGCCGCCGUCCUCCAGGAGCUCGCGGAGGCGACGCCGCUGCCCGCCGCGGAGCCGCCGCUGCGAGGGUAGCGGGGCCAGAGGCGCCGCGAGGCGGGUGGAGCGGGAGGAGGAGCAGCAGGCAUCCUCCGCGGCGCGGCAGGCGGCGGCCCUGCUGCUCGGGCGCGCCCAUGGCCACGGAGGAAGGAGAAUGCGAGCGGCACCACCCGCCGGCCGCAGCUGCCUACCCCCGCGCCGCGGGCUCGGCGCCCCCCGGAGCUGCUCGAGUCGCCGCCGCCCCCCAGCUGCGGGCGCCCGGCCGCUGGCUGCGCUAGGACGCACCGCCGCUGGUCGCCGAGGGGUAGUGGGGAGGGCGGAGCGAGAGGGACCGGGAGACUGGCGCCCGCCAGGGCGCCGCACGGCAUGUAGCUGUGGGCUCCCGCGCCCUUGUGAAGGUGUCGGCCCGGGGCCCCGCCAUGGCUGGGAAGGACAGUGGGAACCUGAAGACAGUGAGGCUGUGGCGGGACGCCGCCUUGCGCGCCAGGAAGCUGCGGAGCAACCUGCGCCAGCUCACCCUCAGCGUGGCCGGGGGCUGCCCGGGGACCGGGGAGGACCAGAUCGACUCCCCUGACGCCCCCCAGCUCGUGCUGCCGGCCAACAUCGGGGACAUUGAGGUGCUGAACCUGGGGAACAACGGCCUGGAGGAGGUGCCCGACGGGCUGGGGUCGGCACUGGGCAGUCUGCGCGUCCUGGUCCUUCGCAGGAACCGCUUUGCCCAGCUGCCUCCGGCGGUGGCCGAGUUGGGCCACCACCUCACCGAGCUGGACGUGAGCCAUAACCGACUGACGGCUCUGGGCGCGGAGGUGGUGAGCGCCCUGCGCGAGCUGCGCAAGCUAAACCUCAGCCACAACCAGCUGCCCGUCCUGCCCGCCCAGCUGGGCACCCUCGCCCACCUGGAGGAGCUGGAUGUCAGCUUUAAUCGAUUGGCGCACCUGCCCGACUCUCUCUCCUGCCUCUACCGCCUGCGCACCCUCGACGUGGACCACAACCAGCUCACUGCUUUUCCCCAGCAGCUGCUGCAGCUGACAGCCCUGGAGGAGCUGGACGUGUCCAGCAACCGGCUUCGGGGCCUGCCUGAGGAUAUCAGUGCCCUGCGUGCCCUUAAGAUUCUCUGGCUGAGUGGGGCUGAGCUUGGCACCUUGCCAGAGGGAUUCUGUGAGCUGGCCAGCCUGGAGAGCCUCAUGCUAGAUAACAACGGGCUGCAGGCUCUGCCUGCCCAGUUCAGCCGUCUGCAGCGACUCAAAAUGCUCAACCUCUCCUCCAACCUUUUUGAGGAGUUCCCUGUUGCACUGCUGCCCCUGGCUGGUCUGGAGGAGCUCUACCUUAGUCGCAACCAACUCACCUCAGUGCCAUCUCUUAUCUCGGGCCUGGGCCGGCUCCUCACCCUCUGGCUGGAUAAUAAUCGGAUCCGCUACCUGCCAGACUCCAUUGUGGAGCUCACGGGCCUGGAAGAGCUAGUGUUGCAAGGGAACCAGAUCGCUGUGCUGCCAGACAACUUUGGCCAGCUCUCCCGGGUGGGCCUGUGGAAGAUCAAGGACAACCCACUGAUCCAGCCCCCUUACGAGGUCUGUAUGAAGGGGAUCCCUUACAUCGCAGCCUACCAGAAGGAGCUGGCCCAUUCCCAGCCUGCGGUGCAGCCCCGCCUCAAGCUACUCCUGAUGGGCCAUAAGGCUGCAGGGAAGACCUUGCUCCGUCACUGUCUCACUGAGGACAGAGUGGAGGGAAACGAAGGAGGGGACAAGGAGAAGAGCUACCCACCUUCACCUCCUCCCAUGAGCAAGGGCAUCGAGGUGACCAGCUGGACAGCUGAUGCUUCCCGGGGCCUGCGGUUCAUUGUGUAUGACUUAGCUGGAGACGAAAGUUAUGAGGUGAUCCAGCCCUUCUUCCUCUCCCCAGGGGCCCUUUAUGUGCUGGUGGUGAACUUGGCCACCUAUGAGCCACUGCACUUUCCCUCCACGGUGGGCUCCUUCUUGCAUCGGGUUGGGGCCCGGGUGCCUCACGCUGUGGUGUGCAUUGUGGGCACCCAUGCAGACUUGUGUGGGGAGCGGGAGCUGGAGGAGAAGUGUCUGGACAUUCACCGCCAGAUCGCCCUGCAGGAGAAGCACGAUGCUGAGGGGCUGAGCCACCUGGCUCAGGUGGUGGAUGAGGCGCUGGCCCAGGACUUCGAGCUUCGCUCUGCAAGCCCCCAUGCAGCGUACUAUGGUGUUUCGGACAAGAACCUGCGGCGACGCAAGGCCCAUUUUCAGUACCUGCUCAACCACCGGCUGCAGAUCCUGUCCCCCGUGUUGCCUGUGAGCUGCAGGGAUCCCCGCCAAUUACAACGCCUUCGGGACAAACUGCUCUCCGUAGCUGAGCACCGGGAAAUCUUCCCCAACUUACAUAGAGUACUGCCUCGGUCCUGGCAGGUGCUGGAGGAACUGCAUUUCCAGCCACCUCAGGCACAACGGCUUUGGCUAAGCUGGUGGGACUCGGCACGCCUCGGCCUGCAGGCGGGUCUGACAGAGGACCGGCUGCAGAGUGCCCUGUCCUACCUGCACGAGAGCGGCAAGCUGCUCUACUUUGAGGAUAGCCCGGCCCUCAAGGAGCACGUCUUCCACAACCUCAUCCGCCUCAUUGACAUCCUCAAUGUCUUUUUCCAGAGGGAUCCUUCCUUGUUGCUGCAUAAGCUGCUCCUAGGGACCAGCGGAGAGGGCGAGGGCGAAGGGGAAAGCUCCCUCGUGAUGGCCCUGCCCACGCCGAGCCAGGACCUGCUUCGGGCCACCCAGCUCCAUCAUUAUGUGGAGGGCUUUCUGCUUCAUGGGCUCUUGCCAGCCCAUGUCAUUCGGUUGCUGCUUAAGCCUCAUGUCCAGGCCCAGCAAGACUUGCAACUGCUGCUAGAGCUGCUGGAGAAGAUGGGACUCUGCUACUGCCUCAAUAAACCCAAGGGCAAGCUUUUGAAUGGGUCCACGGCCUGGUACAAGUUCCCGUGCUAUGUGCAGAACGAGGUGCCCCAUGCAGAGGCCUGGAUAAAUGGGACCAACCUAGCCGGACAGUCUUUUGUGGCCGAACAGUUGCAGAUUGAAUAUAGUUUUCCCUUUACGUUUCCACCUGGGCUGUUUGCACGCUACAGUGUCCAGAUCAACAGCCAUGUGGUGCAUAGGUCGGAUGGGAAACUUCAGAUCUUUGCAUAUAGAGGGAAAGUUCCUGUGGUGGUGAGUUACAGACCUGCCAAGGGGGUCCUGCAGCCAGACACUCUGUCCAUUGCCAGCCAUGCUUCGUUACCAAAUAUAUGGACAGCAUGGCAAGCCAUAACCCCCUUGGUAGAGGAACUGAAUGUCCUACUUCAAGAAUGGCCUGGACUGCACUACACUGUGCACAUUCUCUGUUCUAAGUGCCUUAAGAGAGGGUCGCCCAAUCCACAUGCUUUCCCAGGGGAGCUGCUGAGUCAGCCCAGACCAGAAGGAGUGGCAGAGAUCAUUUGCCCCAAGAACGGCAGCGAGCGAGUGAAUGUUGCCUUGGUUUACCCACCUACACCAACUGUGAUCAGCCCCUGUUCCAAGUAUCUCCAUACUUUCUUGGAAAAUUAAGUGGAAGGGAUAGUGCUUCUUCCCCUUAUGCCAUCACUUUUACUGUACCCAAUCUGUGACUUUAGGAGCACCAAUUUUUAAGGGAAGAACGUUGGCGAAAAGCACAGAAACCAGUGACUUUUAUGGCUGUGGAAUUUCCGUGGAGAAAAGAGAGCAUCAGAACUCACCUGGACCAUCUUUCGUACCUGGUUAAACCCUCCACACUCCCAAGUGUAUUCCAUGAACUUGAGUUCACAGGUGUUCGGGGGUGUUUUUCAGCACGCCUGGCCUGCAGAUGAGGUGGGGAAUGGUGCGGGGAAGGAUGGGAGAGAAUAUGGAGCAAAUGUUUUACAACCUGAACCUCAGAACUGUGAUCCUCCAAGGAGAGCGCUACUUGAAGAAAAGAAAAAAAAAAAAAAAAGUCGAAUGGCUUCUCAGGGAUUUUGUUUUCUGUGCACAUAUAAGCCAUAGUUCCAGUACAGGUGGCAGUAUUUAGAGCAGAUUUCAGUUCUGUUAAAUGUGAAAGAGGGAUCGACUGACCAUUCAUUGCUGUUCCAUCACUAGUGUAAAAUAUGUAUAUGUUUAUCUUUAUUUUUAUAAUAUGCAAAUACAUUUAAAUUUAUACAGUUUGAAGCUUCUAGCGUUAGUUAACACUGGGUGCAAUAUUCUGCAUGAGAACUGUGCCAAGAAGGGGCUGAUUUUUUAUUUUAGCAUACGACCUUUUUUGUUCAUUCUUUAUUCUUUAAACUUUCUCAGAUUAAAAAAAAGAAAAUCUAUCUGCCCAUGAAUUAAGUGUUGGUUCGUAAAGGUUGCCAAUCAUCUGUAAGGACCUUCAGGCAGUGUCCCCUCUCCUUUUAAUUGAAGGCCCCUGCCUGUAAGCGUUGAGCAGGACAGUGGGUUUAUUCCUUUUCUUUGCCCACAUAUCAUUCAUGCCAGGCAGAGUGUCCUUGCUGCAAGCUUUCAUGCCACCUGGGGGUUGUUGCUGGGUGAGGCGCUGAUGAGGUCUGGUGUUAGGAUCCUUCAGUGGAGUGGGGCAGAGGGGCCAUCCAGUCCCUGGACAACCUGAGCCUUUCAAUAGCUUGAGAUAAUCAAGAAUCAGUUCGGAAACAUUCGAAGAACUCUGGUAAUGAGUACUUUUUUUUUUUUUCUAGAACAGUCUGUAAAAUCUAGCAGAGCACUUUAAAAGCCUCCCACAUCUGGCUGUCAGGCCUUAAGAUAGUAAAUGGCCUAAUUGGAGAACAUAAUCCUACAUUGGUUGUUUAUUAAUACAGAGCCUCUGAUUGCCAAGAACUAGCAAAGCUCUUGUUUUAAAAUCUCCAUGAAGCAAAAUGUGAAAAGCAAACCAAACAAAUUGCUUUCUCUUCUACUCCUAAUUGGGACCAAACAGCAUCUGCUGCAAUAGUAGCACGUUCUAGUCAAGAAUGGAGAGGACUCUGUCUACAUCUGCCUCCUAGACAUGCUGAGUGAAAACGUGUAAGACUGUUUCUCACCACCAGUGUGAGAUAGGAAAAGUGAGUCGGCUAGUAUUAUUCUUUUGCUUCUUUUAUAAAGCACUGACUCUUGGAAUGCCACAGUAGUCCAAGUCGCAACAUAGUUUUCAAAGAAAUAACAAACAAGUAAGUGGCUGCAUUGUAGAAAAUCACCACCAGUCUAUUUUUGUAGAAUAUUUUGUGCCCCAGGAGUUAACUUCACGAACUCCAGAACCUCCAAUCAAACAAGUAUGAUUUCUUAGGAUCAUAAAAAUCAAGUGGGAUCAGACUAUUUCUGCAUUUUUAAAUACUUGAAUAUGACACCUCAAAUUUGAGAUUUCAUUAUCUUUUAGAAUACAGUCACAAAAUUAAUCUGGUUAAUCCUUUUGUCACAGUUCUCGUGUGUGUGCGUGUGCGUGGGUGCGUGGGUGUGUAAGUGUAAGCUGAAUGCUAACAUUUAAUUGCUUUAUGGAUCAUUGAAUCAUUGGGCAUAAGAGUUUUUUAAUUGGCAUGAGACAGUUCCUAAACUGUCAGAUUAACUGAUUUUGACCAGUCUUUUGAAAAGACUCUAGCUUACUCUCCAGGGGACCAUAUUAAAUGAAAAAAAAAAUGCUCCUUUGGGUGACAUACCCUGCAAAGUGUGUGCUGUUAUUAUUAAAGUAAAUGCCCAAGUUCUUAAUAUCUGCUAUUUUUUGACAAGUGAUGUUUUGUGCUGUCAUCUGAACCCUAGAGAAGCAGUGUAAGAAGAAAUCUUGGUGUCACAUAUGUUUAAGCAAAAAGGUCACGGUGAUAGAGGGUCAUGUGACCGAAAACAGCUCCAGAAAAGCUUGAGAACUUGCCUCAGGGUGAGGGGAGGGUUAGAGAUACAGAAAACACUCUGCUCUACAGGAAUUUUCGCUGUCUAUGCAGGAAAGUCCGUUUCUUCUUUCGACACCUGGGAAGACUCAGCCAGCCGAGGCUGACAGGCAAUUCACUAAGCACAAGGGGAGUCUUCCAGCCAAGUAGUCCCUGGCCUCGCAAAAACAACAAAAAAAAACACCCUUGACGUUUGUUAUGGUUUUCAUUCCUGUAACUUGUGGUAUCAAAACCACUUCCUGGAAUUGUAAAAGUGCUACCAGAAUACAUGUUUUUCCCCUUCCAAGAAAAAAAAUGACAGUGCUCAGAUUUGACAGUUGUGCUGUGAACUCUUCUGAAUGAAUAAAAUGGAAAGGGUUUGGUGUCACUCCUGAUGGGGUGUGUUUUAUUUUUCACGCCAGAGUUUGUGAAUUGUAAUUGCGAUUUCCCAUUGAAUUGUCAUAACCGGGCAGAAAAAUUAAAAAAAAAAAAUCGAAAAAGUUCAAUAAAGAUGCCAAUGGUGAAACAGUUA